rnacentral:lncRNA from 1 species
GUUGGGACAUACAAUAGAAGGAUUGUAUUACAUGAUAACUGCACCUAGUAGUUCAUUCUUCUAUUCUGUUGGGUUGCCACCAUAUGCUGCUAGAUAUAACUUGUAGAUCAUAAAUACUCAUUAGGAUCAUUUUUGGAUCAACGAUCCUUGUUGAAUACCAGUUGGAAUAGUUCCAGCCCAUCAAAAGGAGUUUUUAUGAUAUUAUAAUAGAGAUCAUGAUAUGUCUCACUACCAAACAGAAUAGAAUCUGAGGGGUCAUACACAAAAAGGGCAUAAUUUGAUCAACGGCUUAGAUCAUAUUCGAAUUAUCAAUCAGAUUGAUAAUUUAAAUUUUGAAAACUACUAAUUUGUAAGUGUUAUAAUUUUUGGCAGCUACUAAUUGUUAGCACAAAAACUUAAUUACAGAUGUUGUAAUUUAUUUUGGACUGAUUAAGUUAUGGAUCAAAUCUU